GUGGAGGUCUAUCCCGAUGGUGCUCCUUCUGUAGACCCGUAUGAUUGGAAACACCUUCUGGAGUAUAUGCGUGGUUUCUUUUAUUCACAGAACUUUGUGUUAAAUCUGUGGGAAGGACCUGCUAAAACCAU
ensembl:snoRNA